AUGCGCAUGAAACAUGCAUUUUAUACUCUCACACUCUUUGCAUUGUCAAUUUGGUGAUUUAUAUCAACAAAAUGCGUUUUAGCGAGUUUAAAUCCGAAUGAUACAACACAUCAACAAGACUAGUGAAACCCAGCAUGCUAGAUGGCAGAUGCUUUGUCACAUAUCUACCUUGUUUGAUUACAUUACAUAAAUAUGUAUGUAGAAAAUUAAUUAUGCCCUUGGUUUUAUGAGGAGUAUCAUUUUGGCAUUUUCACACAAAUUAAAAAAAAAAAGAUUAAUAAUUACAUCUAUUUAACUAGUAGUUUUUGAGAUAAAUAAAAUCACUUAUAAGAUCACAGCAUUAUACAACUAAUUUUAAUCUUAAAAUAGGUACAAAUUGCAUUUGAAUUAUAAGUGAUAUUCCUUUGUAACAAAAAUAUGGUCAAGAUAAUUUUCUUUAUGAAAGAUAAAGACUAUUUCAUAAUUAUGGUGACUUUAUAAUAAGAAUUGAGAAUAAAAAUGUGAAGUUGAGGAUAAAAGUUGUUUCAUAAUUAAAAUGGUUAAGUAGCUAUUUGAUGUUUAGCGAUCAAAUAGGUACUUAAAUCACCAUUAUUUAUCCCAUGCUUAAGGAACACUAUAACAUGUUUCUUGUUGAUUAAAAGCAAGCGUCUAAUCUUAUAUGUUUCUCGAAACUUUAAAUGUAGAACAUGUUAACGUGAAUAUGUGAUGCAAAGACAAAUGCUUGAUUUUGGGAUCUUGUACCUUUGUUAUGUAUUGUAUACAUUCAUUUCCUUUUAGAUUUUAUUUUAUAAGCUUUAUCAAAGAUUGUAUAUGAAUUAUGAAGUAGAUAGUUAGUUGGAAGGUUGUUUAUCUUUGUGCUAGAUAUUCGUGGCAGUAAUAACUAAAGCUGUUAUGUUUCAGAUCCUACAUUAAUGUAUUAGCAUGUGCCACAUUCAUGCAAGACUACAUAAGUUUUGGGGAUCUAGUAAUAUCAGAAGCUAAAUUAAUGUAUUAGCAUGUAUCACAUUCAUGCAAUACUACAUAAAUAUAUCAAAAUUGUUCAGUUUAAUAGUGCUAUAUAAAUAGAUGGCAUAAACACGCUGCCAAUUAAGUUAAAUUCACAUUGUUCUUUAUCAUUUCUAUUCAAAUUUCAAACUUUCAAAGUUCUCAAAAAUGGAAGAAGUGAGAUUCCAGUUUAAUUCUGAUUGUCAAAAAGCCAGGAAGAAAGCUCUAGAUUAUAUCUUUGAUUACAAAGGAGUUAAAUCUGUAGAAUUAGAAAACAGCAUACUUAUCGUGCAAGGAGAAGGACUAAAUGAGGAAGAAAUGAAGAGAAAGAUGGAUAAGAUUCUUCUUUCACCCAAAACGGGAUUUCUAUCGUGUUUAACUCCUAAAAAAUGAUAUGAUCUUCGUCUUUUAAAAUAAAUAUUUGAAUUUAAAUUAUAAUCUUCUUAUUUAUGGCUUCAUGUUCUAUAAAAGUCCAAGUUGUUUUAGUCUACUAGUAUAAUAUUUCUGUAUACUAAUUUUCUUAUUUAACAUUAUAUAA